GACGAACGCUGGCGGCGUGCUUAACACAUGCAAGUCGAACGGAAAGGCCCUGCUUGCAGGGUACUCGAGUGGCGAACGGGUGAGUAACACGUGGGUGAUCUGCCCUGCACUUCGGGAUAAGCUUGGGAAACUGGGUCUAAUACCGGAUAGGAGCCAUCUUUAGUGUGGUGGUUGGAAAGUUUUUUCGGUGUAGGAUGAGCUCGCGGCCUAUCAGCUUGUUGGUGGGGUAAUGGCCUACCAAGGCGGCGACGGGUAGCCGGCCUGAGAGGGUGUACGGCCACAUUGGGACUGAGAUACGGCCCAGACUCCUACGGGAGGCAGCAGUGGGGAAUAUUGCACAAUGGGCGCAAGCCUGAUGCAGCGACGCCGCGUGGGGGAUGAAGGCCUUCGGGUUGUAAACUCCUUUCGCUAGGGACGAAGCUUUGUUGUGACGGUACCUAGAUAAGAAGCACCGGCUAACUACGU
rnacentral:rRNA from 1 species